GUCUACGUGUCCACCUCAGAAGUCAGAGAAAGACCAGAGUGAAGCUCUGAGUCUAGCUGACGACGGUGCUGCGCAGAAGUUGCCCCCAAGUGGUCUGAACACUGAAACUGCACCAGAGAAGACUGUGUGUGGUGCCCAGAGGCACAAGAAGGCUCGCCAGGUGCAGGACCUCACCGACAGGAUCCAACGUCUGCCCGUUCCUGUGCAGCAACAGCACGAACGCACAUUGCCUCU